rnacentral:rRNA from 1 species
UAGAGCGGCGGACGGGUGAGUAACACGUGGACAAUCUGCCCCCCGGCCCGGGAUAGCCCAGGGAAACCUGGAUUAAUACCGGAUGAGACGGGACCUGCGAUGGCGGGAUCCGGGAAAGGCGCUACGGCGCCGCCGGGGGAUGAGUCUGCGUCCCAUUAGCUAGACGCGGGGUAACGGCCCACCGUGGCGACGAUGGGUAGCCGGGCCUGAGAGGGUGGACGGCCACAUUGGAACUGAGACACGGUCCAGACUCCUACGGGAGGCAGCAGCUAAGAAUCUUCCGCAAUGGGCGAAAGCCUGACGGAGCGAACCGCCGCGUGAACGAAGAAGGCCGUGAGGUUGUAAAGUUCUUUUCGGGAGGGGGAACAACCGUGGCAGGGAAUGGCCGCGGGAUGACGUGAAUCCCGGAAUAAGCCCCGGCUAACUACGUGCCAGCAGCCGC